GGUUUAGGCCAACCCUGGACAGUUCAGGAAUUGGCGUGCCUUGUGAGCACACACCGUCCCUCGACCGUCUUCGUCUCUGAAACUAGGCAGAAUAAGGAUAUAGUUAAAAACCUUAGAUGGAGGCUUGGCCUCAAGAACUGCUUGCUGCAUAACGGCAAGGGCAAAGUUGCCGGUAUCGCCUUGUACUGGGAUGACUCA
rnacentral:rRNA from 1 species